GUAGGUGGCAAGCGUUGUCCGGAAUUAUUGGGCGUAAAGCGCGCGCAGGCGGUCCUUUAAGUCUGAUGUGAAAGCCCACGGCUCAACCGUGGAGGGUCAUUGGAAACUGGGGGACUUGAGUACAGAAGAGGAAAGCGGAAUUCCAAGUGUAGCGGUGAAAUGCGUAGAGAUUUGGAGGAACACCAGUGGCGAAGGCGGCUUUCUGGUCUGUAACUGACGCUGAGGCGCGAAAGCGUGGGGAGCAAACAGUAUUAGAUACCCUGGUAGUCCACGCCGUAAACGAUGAGUGCUAAGUGUUAGGGGGUUUCCCGCCCCCUUAGUGCUGCAGCUAACGCAUUAAGCACUCCGCCUGGGGAGUACGGCCGCAAGGCUG
rnacentral:rRNA from 1 species